CCCACCAGCCAUAUUUCUGAGGAUUGUUUGAAUGUUGAUAUGAUGAUCGUUGGUUAUUAUUGUAUUUAUAGACUUUGCAUCGAUCACCAACUAACGUAAGUUGACGAACAAUUGUUAGAAAUUAACUACGGAAGAUUAAUAAACAGCUGAUUUACCGUUAACGUUUUGGCAGACAGGCUGGCAUGCAUGCAUGCAUGUGGUAUGGAGUGCAGAUCCGAAAACCUCUCAUUCUGCUUGAAAAAUUGAGAAGAUACUACAGAUCGAUCGAGGUGAAUAAUAGCUAGUACCUAGCGCCUAGCUAGCUAGUUGACGUAAAUUUUCAUUUCUCCCCAGAUCUGGUAAUUUAAAUAUUACAACAACAUGGUAAUUAAUUUCUUAAUCACAACGAAUGCUCAAUUACAUAUUUGAAAAAGAAGAAAACUCAGAAAUCAUGCAUGCAUACAUGCUGCUUGAUUUCAUCAGUUAAUUAUUAUCAUGUGUUUUUUUUCAUUUCAUACCGUUAUAUCUAUCGGUUUCUACGUAGGUACGUACGUACGUACGUGAUGUAAAUAUGUAAUGAUUGAUUGAUGUUUUGUUUUUUUGAUUUCUCGUCCAAAUUUCCAAAAGGCCAAAAUUACAAAUAUCAUGUAUUUUCUAUCUAUUUCAAUCCUACAUUGAAUUCGCAGGUAUAUUAAUGAAUCGAAUUCAGUCAAAACUAACUAGCUUUGAAGUAACGUAAAAGGAUUGAUUCAAAACUCAGAACCCAUUUAAUAAAGUCAAUGAAAUGAAUAAAAUUACGCUGGCAUGCAUUGGUCCGCGUAAUCACAACUUUCCGUC
rnacentral:lncRNA from 1 species